GCUUACCCGCCGCGAUACCCACCCCGCUGAUCACUCCCUCUUCACCGCAUCCCACCCGAGGUACGGCUGCGUCCUCCCUCGGCGCCACGGACGGGCAUACGCGCUGCCGCCGAACGGACUCCCUGCUGCUUCAGCUCCCUGCAGCUCUCCUCUGCCGCCGCGUCCCUCCCUUGCGACGUGGGCAGGAUCUCCCUGGUUGUCAUCAGCCGCCGCAUCCAUCGCGGAUCGAGCCGGUGGAGUCCGAGCUCUUCUCAAAGCAGACCCUCCCCCUUCCCCACUCCGCCACCCGGGCCUGCGGACCCUGGACAUCAGAGCCAGGGACGAUUCCUCGCCAUCGCCGUCGAUCGAGGCCCUGAACGUCGCCUGUGGCCGCGUCGUCCGCCUUGUCCCGUCCUGCGCCGUUUCGAUCCCCCACCGCCGCCGCCUUCGUCCCGAUCCGGCGGCGGGGAUCGAUCUUUCGCGCUUCCCCGAGACGACCGCCUUCGCCCAGCCGGAUGGCUUGCCAUCUGUGGGCUCCCGGGGCACCUCUCACCACGUGUUACGCGCGCACGCCGGUGCCCUCAUCUCCAACCGCAGAUUCGGCCGCCGUUCCGCGAGCUGCCGAGCUCCACCUCUUCGAAGCCGAGGCCUCCCUUCCGGCGCCUUCAUGGAUUCGCCAUUCGCCGGGUCGUCGCCCGCGGCGAGCACCACCACCAGGUGUGUCAACAACAAGCGGGGUUCGUCAGGAAUGAGGAGCCGAGGACAUGUGGGAGCAGCAGCACAAUCUCGGCACCCAAAAGAUAUACUCUCUCUGCUCCGAGCUUGACAUUCUGUUUUUCCUUAAGGGAAGUGUCGUUUGAGCGAAAACUGGCACUAAGCACUGGCUGUUAUUGGAUCAUUUGAUUCAGUUGUCAAAAACUGGCUUCAGCAAGGCAACACAGCCGUUGGAUGAAAUCUAUGCAUUCUGGGCAUGUUUGGAUGGCGUCCUAGAAACUUGCCUGUGCCAGGCAGUGCAUCCAGGCGACGAUUUCGUCAGCUUGGGGCCAGGAUCGCUGCCUGGUCCAGGGUCGCAUCCAAACAAGCCCUCUUUGCAAUAUUGAGGCUUCCUGCUGUGGAUAAGAAAGCAGGAGAAAUUGUGGCCACUGAUUGCUCAAAAUGAACCCUCGUUGAUCUCCUUACAGUUGCUUCCCAAACUAGCAGAUGAUGACUGCUUAGCUGCCAUGGAUCUUCUUCAAGCACUGCGUGUAGAACAUCUCGUCAGACUUUAUUUUAUUUACAUUUACAGGUGAGGCUGUGCAAACCUUUGGACUCCAUUAUUGUUUACUGGCACAAUUGGAGGAUACAUGGUUACAAGAGAACGGUGCAAGGGAAGUACUUGCUCAAAAGUUCUCCAUUCUAGCUUCAAAACAGUUCCAACUCACAAUACUUGGAGGGCUGAGUCGUGCAACAGACAAGAGCAUCUUCCAAGCUAUUGAUUUCCUUUUGGUUGUAUUCCUAUAUAGCUGCUCCUUGAUAGAGUGUUGGUGAUAUAAGCUCUCGAUAGAUAGAAAAGAUCAACAUGCUCCAGGGUGCUCUUGGCCAGUCGAUUAUCCAUUCCCCUCUCAUCCGGGAUUCUGCUGAAGGAAAACUAUGCUGCUGAAUUUGACAACAAGCAGUGACAAAUUGCUUGCUCCAGCGAGGACCAGACUGAGUCAUACAGCUUUUCUGGAUCGACAUUUCUGCCCCUGCUGAAACUGAAGAUGGAAGAAAGGUGAACGACCCGCCCACCUUCAAUGGCUACACAUAUUCAGGUGAAACUUCAGACGAUGAAGACCCAAAUGACGCCUACUAUUAUGCAGACUCAGAUCGCGAGCAAAGAACUGGUAGCUUAAUGCGCCAGAAUCUCAAGAUCUUCGCACAUGAAGCAAAUAGUGAACAGAAACGUUCUCAGGAAUCAUCUUCUGCAUCUAUGUGUUUGUAUGUGUGUGUAUACAACUAUGUACGUAUGUGUGUCUGCAUGCCAUGUAACUGUGUAUAUCAAGAUGUAUGUAACCAAACUGUCAGCACACUAUGCAAAUUCUGGAUGCUUCUUAUUUGUAACUACUUAUCUAACA